rnacentral:lncRNA from 1 species
GGCCAGUGUUUAUAAGUAGGUGACAGGCUAUCUUAGCUUGUAUUGUUGAAAGAGAAAAGAGCAAGCAGCAUUGGGCAAAGCAGAUUUGGUUAAGUUUAUUAUUAAAACACAUCUACAUCAUUAAACAUCUUCGUCAGCAUAUCUAAUUAAAAAAGAGGGAAGAAGCUUCCAAGUUGUAUAGGAAGUUUGGUAAAACCGGAUCAUAUAUUUAUCCUACAAGAGUUGCAAAUCAUAGCACCAUCUUAAUCACCUA